rnacentral:lncRNA from 1 species
UCGAAAGUACCCCAAAGGGAUAUCUCUCUGUCUGUUCUGCCACCAAACAGCCCACUUUCUGUUGCGAUGGAACGGAAUCCGCUCAAUUGCCUGGAAACCAUUUCUGUCAGAAGUGUUUUAGCUCUGACCCAGGUGAUGGUCAACACCACUUCGCUUUACUUGGUAACACGCUAUCACAGGGAACAUGUCUAUUUCUUAAGACAGGGUAUCCAGGGAAUCUCCAGAGUGGAAGGAAUAAUGUACCCAUCCUAAAGGCAGCGUCCACUGUCCCUCUGGCCUGGACUGCUCCUCACAAAGAAGGAAUUGUGGGCCCUGAUGCACAACCACAGAAGCCACCCUCUUCCUGACUGGCAUUGAACCCUGCCCUUGCAUCCGUUAAGUGUAACUCAACACGUUGGUCCAUCACACAAAAUGGGAAAAACAGUAAGGAUGAGGAUGGGAGUGUUCUAGAGGGCUUCCUAGCACCACACCCUUGGCACAUAUUAGCUCAUUAAGUCCGCAAAUGCCCAGGAAGCAAGGAUCCCUGUUACUCCUGCUUUGUGACUGAAGGAAACCAGCUCUAAAGACCUUGAGAAAUGUUCUUGAUAGCACUGUGUUUCUCAGUAUCAGCACUAUGGACACUUUGGGCUUAGUGACGCUGUAGUGGGCAGGGAAAUUUGGUUCCCUGUGAACUGUAGGAUGCUCAGCAACAUCUCUGGCCUCUCCUUGCUACCUCCCAGUUGUGAUGAUUUAAGUCUCCAGACUUUGCACAUGUCUCCUGGAGGACAUGCCUGCCCCAGUUGAGAGCUGCUGCUUUAUGUCACAGCUAAACAGCGGAGUCCAGAUUUGAGCUCAAUGAUUUAAUUCUAGAGCCCCAAUUCCAUACUGAUCCUGGAUCAUCAUAUCUCUAAAGUACUUCUCUUCAGCCUACUGUCCAGUAAAAGUACUGUCACCUCUGUUUCCACAGAGUCACCUCCUGAAUCUUUCUUUCCUAUUCCUCUGCUGUCAUUUAUAUUCCUUUAUAGUUGGGCAUCUCUCCUCUCAUAAAUGCAUCCCUCACCCCCAUCAUACACCUUGCUAUUCUGAAUGUUCCCAGGCCGGGGGUCUGGGACCCUAAACUCCUCCACGUCUCUUCUAUGAGACAGAUGAUCUGAUGGAAAGAGCAUGGUCUUUGGGGCUGGAGAGUCCCAGACCUUGCUUUGUGGCUUGCUGGCUGUAGGUAGUAAUACUGCCUCCCUGAACCUGAGUUUUCCCCAUUUGCAAAGUGACCAACAUCUCUGUCAUGAUUCUUCCCUUCUCCACUCCCCUCUCUUGACUUCCAGGAAACCACCUUCUCAGUCCCUUCCUUUCUGGCUCCUCUGCCUGCUGUGCCUAAGGGUCCACCCUUGGCCCUCCCCUCCCACCCCUCUCUCUGGACCCACGUCCUUUCCUAGCUCUGGAGAUCAACAUGGCACCCAGUUUCUCAGGCUGGAAGCCUGAGAGCCAUCCUCGAGCCCCUCUUUCUUAACCACCAUGCUCUGUGGGGCUGUCCCCAUGAUUCUUCUGCCCCUCCUUCCUCACUGUGCAAAGGUACUCACAACCUACAAGCGACUUAGUCUCUCCACAGUCGAUCUUCAUAGACAAUUACAUUGAUCUAGAGAUAAAUUUUGAUAAGGCAAAUUUUCACGAGGGGUUGUUGGCUUACUUUUACGACCUCGUGCCUUGUUUGACAAUCUACAGACCAGAUCUCAGAUCUAAGGUGGGGGCUGAAUCUAUUCCUCAGGUAAAUGCUAAUCACCUGGAACCACUUAUAUUUUUUUGGUAGGACCCACCCAAAGUUUUGAGGACUCCUCAGCUUGUGUCUAACAUGGACAGAGGAGACAGUGGACACAAGGUUGACACGACAGCUGACUGCUCUGCCAGAAUGGGAAAUGGACCAUGACUCGUGUUCCAAAAUUUAAUUUCUCCACAUGUCAGAGGCACAGAGUGAUGAUGUUAGUGUGGCCAUACUUACUGGGGACUCCGUGUUUGAGCUUCAGGAGUUUUAAAGUAGCUGACAUACCCCUGGGCUACAUUAUUUCAAGAUCAUUAAAAUGACAGUUGCCAAAAUAUUGGAAAAGUCCCAAGUUCCCUGCCAUUUUUUUUCUUUUACUCCCUAAUUGCUAAAAUAAUAAUACCAAAAAAUUAUUCUGCUCCAAAACCCUCCAUUACUAACUAAAAACUAUCAUUUUGCCUGUCUUUCAGAGGCAAAUAUUUAGAUUUAAUUAAUGGGAAAACAUCCAUCAAAUCUCAAGACCUGUAUCUUCUGUGGACCAGUGUAUUUGAUUUGGCUGCAAACAGUAGAAACCCAACUCAAUCCAAGUUUUUGAAAAAGGGAGGAAGUGGGGCGUCUGGGUGGCUCAGUCGGUUAAGCGUCUGACUUCAGCUCAGGUCACGAUCUCGCAGUCCGUGAGUUCAAGCCCCACGUCGGGCUCUGGGCUGAUGGCUCAGAGCCUGGAGCCUGUUUCCGAUUCUGUGUCUCCCUCUCUCUCUCUGCCCCUCCCCCGUUCAUGCUCUGUCUAUCUCAAAAAUAAAUAAAAAACGUUAAAAAAAAUUUAAAGAAAGAAAGAAAAAGGAAGGAAGUGAUUAUUUCACGUGGGUUAGAAUCCCAGAGGGUAGGUCCGGAACUUUAGGCAUAGGGGAUACAGGGAUUUGAACUAUAUCUUCGGGACUUUCCAUGCCUGUUCUGUGCGGUUCCUCUCAAACAAAUAGCAUAAUGAUCACUGGCAACUCCCAAUCUGUACUAUUUUUAGCUGCUUCGGGGGGGGGGGGACUAGUAUCGAGAAAGUGUUCUAGGGAAGCUUCUGGUUGGUUCUGCUAGCUUACCCCUGAACCCAUCGAGUCCAAGGUGGUGAAGAAUGUUUAUUGGCCAGUCCUGGACCAACGUAGCAUGCCCAGAGUUUGAGAUUUAAUGUUUAUUCAUUUUUGAGAGGGAGAGAGACAGAGUGCAAGCAGGGGAGGGGCAGAGAGAGAGAGAGAGAGAGAGAGAGAGAGAGAAGACACAGAAUCCAAAGCAGGGUCCAGGCUCUGAGCUGUCAGCACAGAGCCCGAUGUGGGGAUGGAACCCAUGAACCAUGAGAUCAUGACUUGAGCCAAAGUCGGACGCUUAAGCAACUGGGCCGCCCAGGUGCCCCCCAGGGUUUGACUCUUAAAGGUCUACUUGGCCCACACAGAAUAUAGAAAUGGCAGGACCCCAAAGGAAAAAAAAUGGUGCAGCUACGAACAGAAUAGGAAAAAUAUGCUUGACAGUCUUGACUGCAAGACAUGUUUAUCUUAGGCGCUGGGUUUUAUUCCUUAAGUAUCCUGGACUGUGACCAUCUUCCCAUAAGAUUAUUCUGUUGAAGGUCCAUACACUUGUACCAAGGUUGGGGUUUAAGCUUUGUCUCAAAAUUUUCUGUUUCAUUUGAUUGCUUUUUUCAAAAACAGUUUAUUUAUUUUGAGAGAGAGAGUACAAAAGCACACACAGCAGAAGAGGGGCAGAGAAAAAGGAUAUAGUGCCCCAAGCAGGCUCCAAAAUGUCAGUCCAGAGCUGGAUGCGGGGCUCGAACUCACAAACUGUGAGAUCAUGACCUGAGCUGAAGCUGGACGCUCAACUGACUGAACCACUCAGGUGCCCCUCAUUUGAUUGCUUUCAAAGCCCUUCAGUGUCCAACUUGGUUCUUUCAAACAGUCUAACCAGAAGGUCAUUAUUCUAGGAGGAGAGAAUUCCCAGCCUCUCUGUAUGUUCAUGGCAUUCCCACAUGACAUAGUUCCUUCCAAUAAUUCGUCUCUUUUUCAUUCUUGUGAUGAUGCUCUAAAUGAUCUAUUUCUGUCAAAUUUCAUAUCUCAGACAUUUUUUUUAAAUGUAUUUGCUUUGUCUAAACCCCAUUCAAAAUGGUAGCCACCAACCACAUCUGGCUAUUUAAGUUUAAAUCAAGUAAAGCCAUCACAAUAAACCAUUAACUCCUUAGCUGUACUAGGUAGGCUUCUAGUACUCCAUCCACUGUGUGCUUAAUGGAUCCCACAUUGGAGAACGCAUUAUAGAACAUUUACAUCAUCAUGGCAAAUUCUACUGGACAGCACUGGUCUCCAUUACAAAAGGUUUCUAUACUAAAGAUAAAAUUGCAUUGUGUUACAUAUAUAUUCCAUGCAUAUGGCCCCUCAGUACAAAGUGGAAACAUAACUGACCUUAAAAAGAUGAGGAGAGGGGCGCCUGGGUGGCGCAGUCGGUUAAGCGUCCGACUUCAGCCAGGUCACGAUCUCGCGGUCCGGUCCGUGAGUUCGAGCCCCGCGUCAGGCUCUGGGCUGAUGGCUCGGAGCCUGGAGCCUGUUUCCGAUUCUGUGUCUCCCUCUCUCUCUGCCCCUCCCCCGUUCACGCUCUGUCUCUCUCUGUCCCCAAAAAUAAAUAAAAAACGUUGAAAAAAAAAUUAAAAAAAAAAAAAAGAUGAGGAGUGAUAUAUGUAGAAUGCUGAUUAUACACUACCUAUCAUUUUAAGUGAGCACUGAAUAUUAGUGUGAUUAAAUACUCCAUUGCAAUUUUCUGAAAAUUUAUACUUCAUUUUGCAAUAAGUUAAGUAUUCCUUUUUCCCUUACUUCAUUCAGACUAAACCACAGGCUUUUUUUUUUUAAGCCUUAACUGCAUCACUUGCCCCCAUUUAGUCUACAUUUUGGCCAUACUGAAUUUAUCACAAUUCUCCAGAAGUACUAGAAUCUAUCAUGAUUUCAAGUCUGUCUUAUGUUAUUCUUAGUUCCUGGAAAAACUUACACUCUGUCUUACAUUUGUUCGCCAGUACCUUCUCCAUGCUCCCCAUUGGAUGUUAGAUAUUUGCUCCUUUAAAUAACUGCAUUAGAGAAUCAAUUACAUAUUUUAGUGCAAUUACCACUCUGUAUGGGAUCCUAUAUUACAGUGUACUGAGGGCAGGGACCUUGUGUAUUGUCCUUCCAAUUCAGCUACAUCUAUUGCAUGUUGGGUUUUCAAUAUCUGUUUUAUAAGUUGAAGUAAAUUAGAUUACUAUUUAAGGGCCUCCAAAAUCUGACCAUGAUGGAAAUCUCCACCCUUUUCCCACCGCUGUUACAUACGGAUUCUAUAUCUCAGCCACCCUGAACCAUUCAUUCACUGUUCAGUGAACACGCUUUGCAGCCCCAACUUUACAUAGUUUUAUAAAUGUUGAUUACUUUCACCGGAAAAAUCCUUCUCUCUGCCCUGGCAUUCAGCCUUCACAACCAAGCCCAAAUAUGUUUUUCUGGAAACGUACCCAAGCCUACGCACUCAGGACAUGCCUUCUUCUGCCCCAUUCUCUCACAGUAAAUACUCUGUGUCUGAAUACCUCUUUUAGACUACUUAUCACAGCCUGAUUUUUUAUUACUGUUCGUCGUGUCCAAGUCUCUCUCACUCACUAGCCUGUGACCCUUUCAAGGACACAGACUAUGUCUUAUUCAUCUUUAUUUUUCUCUUGCACUUAGCACAGGGAGUUACCACAACUGACACUAGAAAGUGUUUGUUGAAUGGAAUAGCUGUGCAAAGAAGUAUUUCCUUUAAAGGACGUAAAAGAAAAAGAACAGUGACAGCUUAGCUGAAGAGCAUACAAUGAACUGAAAAACCACCAGCUUUGAUCAAAACCCUGCCCCAGGAACUUUCCAGCUGCUCAGACAUGGUUUCCUGGCAUCUGUGGGAGAGAUGAAUUCUCAAAAAGGAACAAUGUGAUCGGGGCCGGCGGAGGAAGAAAAACACUAGCAAGCCAAGGGCA